rnacentral:rRNA from 1 species
UACGUAGGGUGCGAGCGUUAAUCGGAAUUACUGGGCGUAAAGAGCGCGCAGGCGGUCGUUCAAGUCGCGUGUGAAAGCCCCCGGCUCAACUGGGGAGGGUCACGCGAUACUGCUCGACUCGAAGGCAGGAGAGGGUAGUGGAAUUCCCGGUGUAGUGGUGAAAUGCGCAGAUAUCAGGAGGAACACCAAUGGCGAAGGCAGCUUACUACACAGUGAUUGACACUGAGGCACGAAAGCGUGGGGAUCAAACAGG